rnacentral:rRNA from 1 species
GGUAGUCCACGCCCUAAACGAUGUCAACUAGCUGUUGGGGCCUUCGGGCCUUGGUAGCGCAGCUAACGCGUGAAGUUGACCGCCUGGGGAGUACGGUCGCAAGAUUAAAACUCAAAGGAAUUGACGGGGACCCGCACAAGCGGUGGAUGAUGUGGAUUAAUUCGAUGCAACGCGAAAAACCUUACCUACCCUUGACAUGUCUGGAAUCCCAAAGAGAUUAGGGAGUGCUCGCAAGAGAACCGGAACACGGGUGCUGCAUGGCUGUCGUCAGCUCGUGUCGUGAGAUGUUGGGUUAAGUCCCGCAACGAGCGCAACCCUUGUCAUUAGUUGCUACGAAAGGGCACUCUAAUGAGACUGCCGGUGACAAACCGGAGGAAGGUGGGGAUGACGUCAAGUCCUCAUGGCCCUUAUGGGUAGGGCUUCACACGUCAUACAAUGGUCGGGACAGAGGGUCGCCAACCCGCGAGGGGGAGCCAAUCCCAGAAACCCGAUCGUAGUCCGGAUCGUAGUCUGCAACUCGACUACGUGAAGUCGGAAUCGCUAGUAAUCGCGGAUCAGAAUGUCGCGGUGAAUACGUUCCCGGGUCUUGUACACACCGCCCGUCACACCAUGGGAGUGGGUUCCACCAGAAGUAGUUAGCCUAACCGCAAGGAGGGCGAUUACCACGGUGGGGUUCAUGACUGGGGUGAAGUCGUAACAAGGUAGCCGUAUCGGAAGGUGC